rnacentral:misc_RNA from 1 species
GUUGGAUUACAUCAUCUUUACAUAGCUAUCUUUUGCUUUAGCACUUGUUGCAUGGAUAGUACAAUGUAUUACAAUGCAAUAAUAAAUAAACAUAUAUCAUAUAUUUAGAGUACUUCAUAGUCUUCUUCAGUAGCCCAUGGAUAUCUUUUGUAAUUAUUCUUAAUCUGAGAAGGAUUUUGAGGUGUAGACCAUGGGUACUUCAUUGAUGGAUCUCUUGGCAACUUUCUGAAGUUCAAAAAUGGUGCCCAUAGAAGAAUCCCGGGAAAGAAAAUGAAGACAAA